GUUGGGUGCGGUGGUGCACACCUGUAAUCCUGGCAACCCGGGAGGCUGUUGCAGAAGGAUCACAAAUUCGAGACCAGCCUCAGCAAUUU
rnacentral:sRNA from 1 species